AGCGAACGCUGGCGGCAGGCUCAACACAUGCAAGUCGAGCGGGCGUAGCAAUACGUCAGCGGCAGACGGGUGAGUAACGCGUGGGAACGUACCUUUUGGUUCGGAACAACACAGGGAAACUUGUGCUAAUACCGGAUAAGCCCUUACGGGGAAAGAUUUAUCGCCGAAAGAUCGGCCCGCGUCUGAUUAGCUAGUUGGUAGGGUAAUGGCCUACCAAGGCGACGAUCAGUAGCUGGUCUGAGAGGGUGAUCAGCCACAUUGGGACUGAGACACGGCCCAAACUCCUACGGGAGGCAGCAGUGGGGAAUAUUGGACAAUGGGGGCAACCCUGAUCCAGCCAUGCCGCGUGGGUGAUGAAGGCCCUAGGGUUGUAAAGCUCUUUUGUGCGGGAAGAUAAUGACGGUACCGCAAGAAUAAGCCCCGGCUAACUUCGUGCCAGCCGCCGCAGUAA
rnacentral:rRNA from 1 species